rnacentral:rRNA from 1 species
GCCACACUGGGACUGAGACACGGCCCAGACUCCUACGGGAGGCAGCAGUGGGGAAUUUUGGACAAUGGGCGAAAGCCUGAUCCAGCCAUUCCGCGUGCAGGAUGAAGGCCCUCGGGUUGUAAACUGCUUUUGUACAGAACGAAAAAGCUCUGGUUAAUACCUGGAGUCCAUGACGGUACUGUAAGAAGAAGCACCGGCUAACUACGUGCCAGCAGCCGCGGUAAUACGUAGGGUGCGAGCGUUAUCCGGAAUUAUUGGGCGUAAAGAGCUC